rnacentral:tRNA from 1 species
GGAGGUGUGGCCGAGCGGUUUAAGGCACUGGUCUUGAAAACCAGCGAAGGUUUAUCCCUUCCGUGAGUUCGAAUCUCACCGCCUCCGCCA